GGCUCCCAGCGGAGGAGCCUGAUGUGGGACUCGAUCCCAUAACGCCGGGAUCACACCCUGAGCUGAAGGCAGACGCUUAAAGACUGAGCCACCCAGGCACCCCGCCAUGUUUUUUUAUCCAGUGUCCUAUUGAUAAUAUUCUUGGGGUAGAUUCCAGGGUUAUUAUGAAUAAAGCUGCUAUGAACAUUCUUGUACAAGUCAUUCACACAUUUCGUUUUUCUUUGGGAAAAUAUGUGGGAGUGGAAUUGCUGAGUAUAGGGGAUGAGUAUGUUUUUCAGAAACUGGCAAACAAUUUUUCCAAAGUGUCUGUCCUACUUUAUACUCCCAGGAGCAGUGUACAUGAUUUCUGUUCUGCUCUGCAUCCUUGCCAGCACUCAGUAUUGUCAAGUCAUGUGUGUUUUAGCCAUUAUAGUGAGUGCGUAGAGGUGUAAUCAUUGUGGUUUUUAAUACACAUUUCCCUAGUAACUUUUCAUACACUUUUUGGCCAUUUGGAUACAUUUUUAUGUGAAAUAUUUUUACUUUAUCUAAGGGGGACAUUUGGAGAACUCCAGUGGAUGCCCAAGCUGUGGAUAUUACCAAAUCUUAAAAAUAACUAUGUUUUUUCCUGUAUGUACAUAACUGUGUUCAAUUUACAAAUUAGGCACAGGAGGAAAGUAACAGCAAUAACUAAUAAUAGAACAAUUUUGACAGUAUACAGUAAUAAAAGUUAUAUAAGUGUGGUGUCUCUCAGAAUGUCUUACUGUACUUUUACCUUUCUGGUGAUGAUGUGACAUGCCUACACAAUGAGGUGAAGUGAGAUGAACAGUCCAGGCGUGGUGAAGUAGCGUUAGGCUAUUAUUGACCUUCUGACAAAACGUCAGAAGAGGAUCAUCUGCUUCUGGACCACUGUUGACUGUAGAUAACUGAAACUACAGAAAGCGAAACUGGGUAAGGGGGACGAUUUUCACUAGGUUGUGUAGGUUUCAUUGCUAUUUGUUGUAAAACUCAUUGAUCUGUAUAUAAUCUAUGAUGUAAAAAAACAUGGGUAUCUUGAUUAGAAUUCUGGAAGGCCAGAUGAUGUUGGGAAUGCAGAAUGGAAUGUUCAUAUUAUGGACUCUUUGCUUUUUGUAAAAUACCAGCUGGAAAAUAGAAAUUAUUAUGUAAUUGAACCUUUUAUUAUGAUGUCUGGCAUACUAAUGUGAGUAGAAGAGACAUGGGUUUGAUUAAAAAAGUCAAAGCCUUCAGUUUGCUAUAUUUGUUUUAUUGCCAGUUUGUUUUAAAGGUUUUAUUUGAGAGAGUGUAAGCGGGGGAGGAGCAGAGGGAGAAACAGACUCCACACUGAGUCACAUGACCCCAAGAUCAUAACCCGGGCCGAAACCAAGAGUCAGACACCCAACCGACUGAGCCACCCAGGUGCCCCUUAUUGCCAAUUUUCAAUCCAAAAUCGUGAAAAUUUAAAAUGUUGAAAUUUUUUCUUUCUAACUUCCAACUAACUGUUCAUUUAACUGGAACUAUAUUCUGUUAUAUCAUUUGUUCAUCAGUUGAAAUUGUAUUACAUCAAAAAGGAUGAACUUGUAGAAAUAUUGUCCAUUGUUUUAGAGAUUUGCUGCUUUUAUGGGUGUUUACUCAUUUCAAUGGGAGAUGAUGGCUUUUGAAUUUUUGGUCUAAUUUUUUUGGAUGUAUUAUUCACUUCCUGACUUGAGCCGAAAUCAAGAGUUGGACGCCUAACCGACUGAGCCACCCAGGCACCCCCAGGAUAUAUUCUUUGUUGCUUAAAGAGAAUCUGUUAACAUUGAAAUAAAAUUACUUCAGUAAGGAGUAUGUUAGAUAUUUUCACUGUUGUGAGUUGCCUGUAAUAAUAGCAUUUGGUUUAUUUAUUGUUUUAGCGGCCAGUAGUGUGGUCUGUGUCUUUGUCAUGAAAGCAAAGAAUCGUAUUAGCUUGUGAGCUCUAGUCUAUAUAUGCUCUCUGAUGGUAAUGUUUGAUAAUAACAUGGAUAUCCUCCCACCUCCAUACCUCAAACUUCAGAAUAUAUGCUCCUCAGAAGGGAAACCCCGCUGCAGAGCAUGCCAGUAAAGAAUGUGGCUCCUCUGUGGUUUGAUACCAUGGGAAUCUACUUCAGAGGAAAUCAUAACCUUUUACGUUGAUUUCUGGCAAGGAUUUUCAACAUGAGCCAUUGCUAAAAUCCUGUUUCUUGGGUAUUUACAAUUUGUUGUAAUUUGAACAGCUUUGUAGAGUAUUGCUCAGCCUCCAUGCUUGCUGAAGUAUAAUCUGUAUUUUAUACAUUCCUUUCUUAGAAUGCACUUCUAUUGUAAUUUAUAUAUUACAUAAUACAAAUUAUAUGUGAUGCAAGGAUUGUCUACUCAGUGGAAAAGGAUACCUUUGCUAACUCAAAGAGGGGAGAAUGUUAGGUGCAUUGUUACAUAAUUGACUGUUAAGAAUGGGCCUUCCAUAUCUUUAAUGUUUUAUUCUUUAAGAAAAGUCAGACAAUUUUGUUUCUGACUAAUUAGGGUGUGGUUAGAAGAGCUGUUUUUCACUCUUAACAAUUCUUAUGUUUUGACAUGGGAGGGUAAAAUCAACCAUGAACUUGUAUGCAGUUUUUAUUGACCCUGUUUUAUCUUAAAAUAAAAGAUGGACCAGUUUCAUCCAAAGUGGUAUCAUAUAGUCUUGUUACGGUUAUGCUUUAAGAUUUCAACAAAGGGAGACCUUUUCUUUUAAUGUAAUUAUUGGCAGGUGUCCCCCACCACCAAUAUUUGACAGUAGCACUUUGAUAGAGACAGCUGUUCUUCAGCAUCAGAAAAUAUGUGUAUCAACUGUCUUUGUGUAUCAACUUUCUUGGAUUUUACAGACUUUAACUCCAAAUUAGGAGUAUCAUGGAAUGAGUGUACAUAUGCAGUAGCUCACUGUAAUUCUUUUAUUAGUGGUGAUUACUAAUGUAAUCCAAUGUACAAUAAACCUGGCCACUUCUUUGUAAGACCACUUUAAACAGAAUGCUAGUGAUUUUGAAUACUGAAUUCAUAUAUUAAGCUACCCUUUUAAAGACUAAAUAUAGGCAACUAAACUUGGAUAAUUCUAGAGAUUACCUUUCUAGGUUUCAAUAAAGGUAAUGAAUGCUUUGUAAAUUGCAGGUUCACAUUUUUGAAAAGUUGAGAUCGUAUUUUUAAUAGUCCGGUUGUGUGGUUUGGUUUAUGCGUUCCAUUCUCCUUGUCUGCCUUAACUUUACUAAGGGCAAUAUAAUUACGAAAUACAAAUAUAUACCAAACCAGUUUAAGAAUGCCUUAAUGACUUUACUUACUGACAGAUCCCUAAUAAGGAUCCUGUGUAGUAGAAUGCUACUUGUAGGUGGAAAUAUAUAAAGAUAAUUUUUUGUUGAUUUUUGGCAUGCCUUGUUUGAAAAAUAUUUAAGGUUUUAUAACUGGGACCAUGGGUCCUAUUGGAUCAUUUGGAAUAACCUUAAAUUACAUGCAGAAUUUUGUGUUCAUAUUUUUUUACAUGCAAAUUUUGGGGGGGAGACACUGUUCAUACUCCAUCCAAUUCUCAGGUGUAUUUGAGAUCCAAAUGGGUUUUGAAAACAAUACUAAUUUAGGGUAGUUAUUUCCGGUAUUUGGGGGUCAUGUACCCUAAUAGUUUAAAAAAAUUGAGCACAAUUUGUAUACUUAUUUCUAAACUGUAAUUGUAUACUCUUGUACUAACCUUUCAGGUAUGUUAAGAAAUAUACUUCAUAAGGAUGAGGUGUAAUACACCUAAAACUGUAUUCCAAUGAAAAAUUCGCAUUAGUGCUCUCUCUCUGGAGAACUUUGGCCCAAGGAGUUACUAGGGAGGGUGAAAGAAAACAUGGAUGAAACUUCCUGAAUUUUGGCUUCUGGCAUGAAUCCAGUUCAGAGACUAGGAAAUGCUGGUGUCUGUAUCUCCUUUCAGUGUGGUCCCAGAGACCAGGAGAAUCAGCCUUCCAAGCUUCUUGGCAGUGCAGAAUCUCAGAACACACACCUGAUCAAACGAAUCUGCCCAUUUUAACACGAUCCCAGGGGAUUUGAUGGGUCACUUUUGUGAGAGAAAUGCUUUUAAAGACAAAGGGGAAACAAGACAGAAAACAAAUCUCAUUUCAUUUGUGAAUUUAUUUCUCCAUAUAAACAACUUACGUAUGUAUGAGUAAUCCUAACAUUUGACAUUGUGCGUCAUGGAGUUUUCUUUGGUUAAAAUAAUAUCUGGAAUAUGGCGAACUUCCCUUUUCAUUCAGGUGUUUUGUUGUUGUUGUUGAUCAAGAUGUCUACCUACCCCUUGGUGUGUAGUCUUGCCAUGGAAGUAGUAUGGUGUAGUAACCCCAAAAAACAGAAUAACCAACAAACUUCCUUUUCAACUCCCUGUAAGUUGGAACCAUUAGAGGGACUUUUUUUUUUUUACCACCCCACGUGGCCUGCAAUUUUGGGUCAGUCCCCAAGAUAAGGAGCUACUCGUGGAAUUUGACAUCGUUGUGAGAAAGAUCAUGUUUUACUAAAGCCAUAUGUAUUUUUUAGCUCAAAGAAAGCAAAAAAUGGUGGAUAUGAGCAAGGUAGUGUGUGUUGUAAUGGGAAAUUCCUUUCUUUCAAGUUAAACUGAUGCCCAGUAUUAGGGUUAGAUUCCAGCUGAGGUCCUUGGGAGCUUUGGUUGUUGGCAGGGGACUAUUUCCCGACUUCAAUUUGGUCCUUAUUUGAUUGUGACUCAUUGUAAUUACAAUUUUCUACCUUACUAGUAAUGCUCUUCUGUACUUGGAGGGAGAUGUAAGGCUUAGAAAUCCCAGAUUUGGUCUGAAAGGAGCAUUAUCUGCAAGUCAGCACAGGAUGGAGGAACACUGGGUUCCAUCAGUGGUUCUCUGCAUUUACCUAGCCAACAUUUGGGCCAAUAAAGCUUUAAAAAUUUAAAACAAUUUUAGGGGUUUAUAUAGUUUUAGGCUAUUAAACAUUAACUGCAUGAAAUAUUAAAAUUUUCCAAAUUCUUUUUCAUAAAUCACGUUUUGAUAAUUCUGGUGUAUGUUUCCUUCCUUUUCCUGGUCUUGACUAAUCAUCCUCCUUGAGACACUACACUUGCAUGGUAAAUGCUUUAUCAGGUCCUUUCACUGUUCACAUUCUGGAUACUAAGCCUUUUUCCAGGAGUAAUACAUUCUUAUUUUGAAAGCUACCAGUAUAACACUUGUCAAUUCUAAAAGCACCUGAGCUUCAAACUGCAACCUCCUGACAUUUCACUGAAUAAGAUGGGAAUGACUUAGGAAGACAGUGUAUGCAAAUGACCUGUUCUCAGAGUGAAACCAAACUCCCUAACAACUGUAGCUGAUCAACAUUUGAAUAGUUUGGAUACUGGAUGCUGCUUUUUAGUAUACUGUUGCAGAUAAAAAAAGCAUGUAUAAUGUGCUUUCUACUACAGCCCUACUCAUUAGAGUGGACCAGAUCUGAAUAUUAUAGAGAAAUUAAUUGAAUAACCCAAUUAUGUUGUCCUUUCUGCCAUAUGCACCGGAAAGGAGUGUGAUUUUUUAAAAUUUUGUUAGAGAAAGAGCACGAUUGGGCCUAAGGGUAGGGAGGGGUAGAGGGAGAGGGACAAGCAGACUCCCGCUGAGCAGGGAGCCCUAAGCAAGGCUCAAACUCAGGACCCCAAGGUCACGACCUGAGCCAAAGGCACAUACUUAACCAACUGAGCCACCCAGGUGCCCCUUAAUUUUUUUUUAAGUUAAGAUAAAAUUGAAAUAAAAAUGUGUACUAUUUGCUUUUCUCAGUCUGGCUGAACAAUGAUGCAUCCCAUUUUUGAUGAUCUGCUUAAUGAUAAGAUUGCCUAUGGCCUAGAUAUAAAGCUGUUACAUUUUCUGUAUUGUAUAUACUUUCUAAGAAGAAUGCUUUGGUUUUGACCUAUAGUACUAAAGAAAUCUGUAAACCUUCUAAGAUGCUGCUUGAGAAUUGCUUUGUUUUCCAGAGAAACCAUGGCUCAAGCUUUGUACACAUUUUAUUUAAAUGUCAAAGUGGCAGCAUUAUCAGUAUCUGAUGGAAUUAGCUGCCUCAUCAGAGAACCAGUAAGAAAGCAAUGAAGUGUGACUCUGUAGAUGAUUCAAGUCUUCUCCAUCCUUAAGAAACCAGAACUUUCAGAGUAGACAGGUGUGCUUUACAUCUGACUAUAGAGAAGCUAUAGUUUAGAACAAAAGGUAUUAAAUUGUGUGGCUCUACUUUCUAUUCCUAGUAAACACAACUGUUUACGUAAUUUACUACCACAUCUGGCAUAAAACUGGUAGAAGUCGAGAUGGACAACUCAAAGGUUGUGUUACCCCAGAUAAUCUCACACUUUUAUCUUUCUUCCUUGACCCUGCUUUCUGUGAAAAUAACUCGCUCAAUUUCCCCAUGAUUAAUAGUUUCUUAAUCUGUCACAAGUUUUUUUUUUUUUUUUUAAUCCUUGCUGACUUCCCAGUGUGUAUUCCUUAACUUCUAAAGGAAUUAUUCAUCAGAUUUUCUACUUGAUUUCUAGCCUGGCCUUCCCUCUUGGAUAAACAGCACAUCGCCUUUUAAUGCGUGCUUGUAAAGCUGAUACUAUCUUAAGCAUGAUUUUGAGAACAGAAAUUUUCUUUAAAAACCCAUUUCUCUUAUGCAUUAUUUGAACGUACCAUCUAGCUCCGACUGUUCCUGACCCACCACCACUGCUAACGCAAAACGCAUAACAUUUUUCCUAGAAAGCUAUGAAGUUAGAUACAGUACCAGUCAUACAUGAUUCAGUAUAGAUGAAAAAAUUCCAAUCCCAGCCACCAUUUAGCUAAAAAAUUACACAUUAGUAUCCUCCUUGUUUUGAAGUCCUGAGACUUGAGAUACCAAAAAAAAAAAAAAAAAAAAAAAA